UUACCGCAGUGCUACUCCCCCACCAGACUGCAAUACACAGCAGUGACUUACCCAAACGAUCUGCAGUGGAGCCAGCUCAUGAGUCUGAGUCCACGAAGUGCUUCUCCACCCUAUUUUGGUCCAAGUUGCUGAGCUGAUCUCUCUGCACCACAUUUCGCUCUUCAUAUACGCAAGGUGUCCUAAGGCCCAAUCCAACUCAAGCCUGGUAUUAUUAAUACAUGGACUCAGUCUUCAUCUUGGCACUGGUUCUCAGUUGCCCAGAGGAUUCCUCCAUCGUUGCACUGUCCUCUACCCUGUGACACUCGUGUCCUACUCUCCAUCAGGUCAAUACGGCCAGGAUCCAAUGCCAGGACUGGGAUGAUCAGAAAAGGAGGAUGGAUGUUUCUGCAAAGCCUUUUGCAUGUGACUGAUCAGAAAUGACCCAAGCAAAACCAAGAAGCGUUAGCUGAACCUUCAGCAACCUCACCAUCGUGGACGCUGCUGAAUUGAGAGCCUCCAGAAUAUGUCCUCUGACAUUCUGCAUGACAUAGCCCAUUUGUAAUCUUGCAUACCUGAAGAUUUGUCACUUAAGUUAUUCCUACAGAAAACAUGCAGAAGAAUAAGACCUAGAAUUAUGCCUUUGAAGGGAAAAGCUGCAGCAAUGACUAACUGAAAGGGCU